rnacentral:ncRNA from 1 species
CCCACUAGACUUGUUUCCAACACCCGGUGACCCCACCGGGUGGUGACCCGAGGAGC